GUGCUUCAACAUCAAUGAGGAGCCUGGUGUUAUCCUGAGCCUGGUACAGGACCCCAACACAGGCUUCUCAGUGAAUGGGCAGCUCAUUGGCAACAAGGCCAGGAGCCCUGGGCAGCAUGACGGCACGUACCUCGGGCGGCUGGGAAUCACAAACCCUGCCACGGACUUUCAGUUGGAAGUGACUCCUCAGAACAUUACCCUGAACCCCGGCUCUGGUGGGCCUGUGUUUUCCUGGAGGGACCAAGCUGUGCUGCGGCAGGACGGGUAACCUGCCAGGGCCUGGGCAAGAAGCAGGGGGAGGUGUGGCCUGGGCCCAGGACUCUGCUGAGUCUGCAGGGCCCUCGUCCCUGAGCCGUGUCUGUGGGUGACGCCCAUGUGGCCUGUGCAAACAUGUCAGACUCCAUGGCCCACCCAGCCCUCCAUUUCCCUUGGUUCCUGGAUAUGUCCUCUUGGCCCGGCUGCGUGGCAACUGUGCUCCCACUGCACCUUAGCUCUGAAUGCCACCCCUGUCUCUACCAAACAAAGCCAGCUCAUCCUCCCAGGCCCAGCAAAGAGGCCACCUCUUCCCUUCAGCCCUCCUGCUCUCUUCCUCUGCUGAACUCCAGAUUUCUCUGGGCUUCUCAUUUGGCAUGUCUUAGUCUGCAUUGUCUCAUGAUUUUUCCUUCCUUUACUAAUUCGUUCAUUCAUUCAUUCAUUCAACAAACUCUGCUGAGCACCAGAGCAAUGCUGGGCAGCAGAGCUAUAGGAAGAGGUGGGGAGCGUCUGCUGUGGAGCUCACAGGUGAUGAGUGGGAGUCCCAGAACACGGACUCUGAUAUUGGACAGCCUG
rnacentral:sRNA from 1 species